UACGUAGGAUGCAAGCGUUGUCCGGAUUUACUGGGCGUAAAGCGCGCGCAGGCGGCACAUCAAGUAAGGUGUGAAAUAUCCCGGCUCAACCGGGAGGGUGCACUUUAGACUGAUGAGCUUGAGGUCGGUAGAGGGGGGUGGAAUUGCUGGUGUAGCGGUGAAAUGCGUAGAGAUCAGCAGGAACACCCGUGGCGAAGGCGGCCCCCUGGGCCGUACCUGACGCUGAGGCGCGAAGGCUAGGGGAGCGAACGGG
rnacentral:rRNA from 1 species